AAAAAAAAAAAAUCAAGACUUGGAACGCCCUUUUACUAAACUUGACAAAGGUUCAGUAAAUUCUUACCGUCAGACUGACGGAAUAUUAUUUAUAAAUCAAGUUUGAUGAAGUGAUCACUGUCUACAGUGGUUCAACUUUUAAGUUAAGGGAAAAACUUUUACUUUGUAGAUAAUAUAAAAUAAAAACUUAAAAAAAAUUAAAAAAUAAAAAAAGUUUUAAAAACUGAUACCCAGUUAGUGUGUGUUUCUAUAAGCCACUAGUUAAUAUCAAGGCAGAGGGGCGGAGUGUAUUUUCUUAAUGUCCUGGAAGGUUAGUUGUCAAAUGAUUUUUCUUCUUCACCUUCAGUUCUGGUUCAAGGUCUCUCUAGGAAAAGACACGACUGAGAUAUUCUCUUUGGUGGAUAGAGUUCUGCUCCGGAAGGAGGAAGGCUGGCCAGAGUUGGGCAGCGCUGAAAGGCCACGUCCGCAGCCUGCCGCUGGAUCUAAAUGAUCAAAGGCAGAAGAUUUAUACCAGAUAAAGCCAUAUGGAUUGCUGGUCUAAAAUUCAAGGCAGGUUAGUUGACUUAAUUCUUUGGUGCUGGUGACUAUUAGUUUGUAAAAGUUCGUUAAAGUCAGAUUGAGGAAGUGAUGGUGCUGGAAGCAGUCCACUGCCCUUGUC